AGGUUACUGCUAUCGGUGUUCGCCUAAGCCGUGCGAGUCAUAUGUUCUUCGUGAACAUGGCGUACUGCUCAGUAACACGUGGAUAACCUGCCCUUGGGUCCGGCAUAACCCCGGGAAACUGGGGAUAAUUCCGGAUAACGCACAUAUGCUGGAAUGCUUUAUGCGUCAAAUGGAUUCGUCCGCCCAAGGAUGGGUCUGCGGCCUAUCAGGUAGUAGUGGGUGUAAUGUACCUACUAGCCUACGACGGGUACGGGUUGUGAGAGCAAGAGCCCGGAGAUGGAUUCUGAGACACGAAUCCAGGCCCUACGGGGCGCAGCAGGCGCGAAAACUUUACAAUGCGGGAAACCGUGAUAAGGGGACACCGAGUGCCAGCGUCAUAUGCUGGCUGUCCGGGUGUGUAAAAUACACCUGUUAGCAAGGGCCGGGCAAGACCGGUGCGAGCCGCCGCGGUAACACCGGCGGCCCGAGUGGUGAUCGUGAUUACUGGGUCUAAAGGGUCCGUAGCCGGUUUGGUCAGUCCUCCGGGAAAUCUGACGGCCUAACCGUUAGGCUUUCGGGGGAUACUGCCAGACUUGGAACCGGGAGAGGUAAGAGGUACUACAGGGGUAGGAGUGAAAUCUUGUAAUCCCUGUGGGACCACCUGUGGCGAAGGCGUCUUACCAGAACGGGUUCGACGGUGAGGGACGAAAGCUGGGGGCACGAACCGGAUUAGAUACCCGGGUAGUCCCAGCCGUAAACGAUGCUCGCUAGGUGUCAGGCAUGGCGCGACCGUGUCUGGUGCCGCAGGGAAGCCGUGAAGCGAGCCACCUGGGAAGUACGGCCGCAAGGCUGAAACUUAA
rnacentral:rRNA from 1 species